GUGCUCGCUUUGGCAGCACAUAUACUAACAUUGGAAAGAUACAGAGAAGAUUAGCAUGGCCCUUGUGCAAGGAUGACAUGCAAAUUUGUGAAGCGUUCCAUAUUAAA